rnacentral:misc_RNA from 1 species
UUGAUUCAUUUGUUUUUUGCCUUUCGGCCACUCAGAUAAUACUGUAAAAACUAAGAGUUUGAUACCCCCGGCGACGCCGGAGCGCCGCCGAAGCAACAAGUGGUAAGUUCACAUAGGGUUGGGAGUUGAAUAAACUCGAUAAUGAUCCCUCCGCUGGUUCACCAACGGAGA